AUUGAACGCUGGCGGCAGGCCUAACACAUGCAAGUCGAGCGGAUGAAGGGAGCUUGCUCCUGGAUUCAGCGGCGGACGGGUGAGUAAUGCCUAGGAAUCUGCCUGGUAGUGGGGGAUAACGUCCGGAAACGGGCGCUAAUACCGCAUACGUCCUGAGGGAGAAAGUGGGGGAUCUUCGGACCUCACGCUAUCAGAUGAGCCUAGGUCGGAUUAGCUAGUUGGUGGGGUAAAGGCCUACCAAGGCGACGAUCCGUAACUGGUCUGAGAGGAUGAUCAGUCACACUGGACCUGAGACACGGUCCAGACUCCUACGGGAGGCAGCAGUGGGGAAUAUUGGACAGUGGGCGAAAGCCUGAUCCAGCCAUGCCGCGUGUGUGAAGAAGGUCUUCGGAUUGUAAAGCACUUUAAGUUGGGAGGAAGGGCAGUAAGUUAAUACCUUGCUGUUUUGACGUUACCAACAGAAUAAGCACCGGCUAACUUCGU
rnacentral:rRNA from 1 species